rnacentral:rRNA from 1 species
AAAUGAAUAGACGGGGGCCCGCACAAGCGGCGGAGCAUGCGGAUUAAUUCGAUGCAACGCGAAGAACCUUACCUGGGUUUGACAUCACCCGGAAAGCCUUGGAGACAAGGCCCUCUUCGGACUGGGUGACAGGUGGUGCAUGGCUGUCGUCAGCUCGUGUCGUGAGAUGUUGGGUUAAGUCCCGCAACGAGCGCAACCCUUAUCCCGUGUUGCCAGCAAGUAGUGUUGGGGACUCGCGGGAGACUGCCGGGGUUAACUCGGAGGAAGGUGGGGAUGAGGUCAAGUCAUCAUGCCCCUUAUGUCCAGGGCUUCACGCAUGCUACAUUGGCCGGUACAGCGGGUUGCGAUACCGUGAGGUGGAGCGAAUCUCUGUAAAGCCGGUCUUGGUUCGGAUUCGAGUCUGCAACUCGACUCGAUGAAGGUGGAGUCGCUAGUAAUCGCAGAUCAGCAACGCUGCGGUGAAUGCGUUCCCGGGCCUUGUACACACCGCCCGU